rnacentral:snoRNA from 1 species
UAAUGAUGAUGGGGUUAAUUUCUAAGCAUACCCUUAAAUCUUUCCCAAGCUUGGUAAAGAUUUUCUCUUGUUUUCUGCCUGAAACUCGGAAUCUCACUUCUCAACGG